rnacentral:lncRNA from 1 species
UGUAUUUUCAAUGGAGAAUCAAAGAUUAACCCACAUGUACAAAGGAGCUUCAACUCAGUUAUCUGCAAACUAUGGAGGAAUUCACAGAAGUCAACAAAAUUUUAGUGACCAGAGUCUAUGAUUACUUGCUCAUCAAGCCACCAUUGAAGAACUCCAAAUUGUCAAGGGGUUCUUUCUUUGAUAAGCUUGUUCACCUCUAUUAUGCCACAUUAAGUCAUUUUUCUCACAAUCUGACCUACUGGCUAUACAUCUGAAUGAGAGCAAACGAACAUUCUUUUAGAGACAAGAGCCAGGAGGUUGUAUAAUUGUAUUAUGCCGCAAAAGGGUUUUCCCUACUUUAUUUCCCUAAAAGAUAUAAUUAUAAAUUAAUAGACAAUAUUAUCCUCCAACUGACAAAAAAUUAUAAUUGUAAACUAAUAGACAAUAUUAUCCUCGGCUGUAAUCUGGAUCCGAGCAGGGCACACGAAGGCUUUGUCGGAUCCCGCUGCUGGUGACGCACCCUUGUCGGGCAGGGCCAUCACAGGUGAAUCGAAAGGCCCCGCCCCUGUCACAUCUGCCCUGCUCAGUGCCGGAUUGGAGCACAGGGAGGGGAAGUGGUGGUGUGGGUGAGAACCUCAGAGGUCCCUGCCAACAAAUGAAGAAACACAAGCACAAACAAAUAGGCAGGAGUCAGCAAAGGAAACACAUACUGUUUGCCAAUGGCGAGGGUGUUGUGGCUGCCGGUGCACUGAUGCCUAGUUACCCGUCCUCCAACUCAUCGUUCAGUUCACUAUUGCGGCUGCCGGUACACUGAUUUCACAUACUUUUUGUAUGUAAAAUCUGAGAUACCUGUAAUUCAUCGUUCAGUUCAAAUGGCAUUUCAAUUUGGCAAAGAUUUGUAAGUACUAAAAUAAUUUGGUAAAAAUUCUAUAUUAUUUCAAAUAAAUUUUUAUCAAGAGCAAUCCAUUUGAUGGCUUCUACGUAGUGCUGGCACCUACUAACAGAUUUGUGUGCCAAAGGAAAAGAACUUAUAGUAAUUUUUAAACGAGCUCUUGCAAAUCGAAGAUUAUUUAUGCUAGUGUUCGAAUCAGUACCUCUAAAGCACCACCAGAUUCAGGUGCUCUCGAUCUGUUUAUUGGCCUUGGAUUCAAGGGGGCAGCAGGAAGGGGAUGUUGGUACUGAUACAUACCUGAAGCAACGACGGUGGCGCGUCCUCCACCUCCCUCUAAGUUAGUGUCGGCACCACCCACCCACUCAUC